rnacentral:misc_RNA from 1 species
UCCGGUUUGGCACCGGCAGUCUCCCAUGAGUCCCCGACAUGACUCGCUGGCAACAUGGGACAGGGGUUGCGCUCGUUGCGCCACUUAAGGCAACACCUCACGGCACGAGUUGACGACGACCAUGCAGCACCUGUGCGGGCUCCCGAAGGAGGACCGUAUUUCUACGGCUUCACCCCGCAUGUCAAGCCCUGGUAAGGUUCUUCGCGUCGCGUCGAGUUAAGCCACAUGCUCCGCCGCUUGUGCGGGCCCCCGUCAAUUCCUUUGAGUUUUAAUCUUGCGACCGUACUCCCCAGGCGGGAUGCUUAAUGCGUUAGCUGCGCCACUGACGAGUAAACCCGCCAACGGCUAGCAUCCAUCGUUUACGGCGUGGACUAC